GACCUCAGACCUUUGCUACAGAUGAGGCCAUUCCUCUCUGUGAUGCAUGCUAAGGCCCAUUCCACCAAGUGUGAGAUCACAUGGAGUGGCAGGAAUCAGGAGGGUGCUGGAACAACUGCAGGGGAGGAGGUGGAAAUGGUCAACAGCUUCCUUUCCCGAUGUGCUCUCACGACUAAGUACAUGACAAAAUCUGCCCGGAAUGACAUGCUAACGAUCCACGCCAUUGGUUGGAACCAACGGAAGCAGGAUGGCCUUCAUCUUGCUUUAUCCAGCAGAUAUGUCAAGGUAUUGACCAGAUGCCAUGUGACAAAGCUGACAAACAAUAUUAGUUCUGUGUGUAAAUGUGGUUGGAAAACAUGACUGACAACAUGAUUACCUCAUACUGCGCUUUUCAUGAUUUUCCUCACUUUUCUAAGAUUUUA